rnacentral:lncRNA from 1 species
AAAAACAGCUGACCUAAUAUCAGAAUACCAUUUGAGGUCUGGAACCGCGUGUAGUCGUCUCUGAAAUCCUUCAACAAUGGAAUACUUCAAGAUUAUGAUGCUCUUGGUGGUGGUAGUGGCCUGCGCCCUCAUGAUUGCGUGUCCUGCCGUAUUCGCCGAUGACACCAAGGAGAGUUCUGUCGCCAGAGACAUUGGGACAUCCACACAAGAAGCAUUGGUAGGACGCUGAUGAUAAUGUAGAUUCCCUUUGUUAUUAAAAAUAAAGAAUUUAUAAAAUAAAGUA